AGAGUUUGAUCAUGGCUCAGGACGAACGCUGGCGGCGUGCCUAAUACAUGCAAGUAGAACGCUGAAGAGAGGAGCUUGCUCUUCUUGGAUGAGUUGCGAACGGGUGAGUAACGCGUAGGUAACCUGCCUUGUAGCGGGGGAUAACUAUUGGAAACGAUAGCUAAUACCGCAUAACAAUGGAUGACACAUGUCAUUUAUUUGAAAGGGGCAAUUGCUCCACUACAAGAUGGACCUGCGUUGUAUUAGCUAGUAGGUGAGGUAAUGGCUCACCUAGGCGACGAUACAUAGCCGACCUGAGAGGGUGAUCGGCCACACUGGGACUGAGACACGGCCCAGACUCCUACGGGAGGCAGCAGUAGGGAAUCUUCGGCAAUGGGGGCAACCCUGACCGAGCAACGCCGCGUGAGUGAAGAAGGUUUUCGGAUCGUAAAGCUCUGUUGUAAGUCAAGAACGGGUGUGAGAGUGGAAAGUUCACACUGUGACGGUAGCUUACCAGAAAGGGACGGCUAACUACGUGCCAGCAGCCGCGGUAAUACGUAGGUCCCGAGCGUUGUCCGGAUUUAUUGGGCGUAAAGCGAGCGCAGGCGGUUUGAUAAGUCUGAAGUUAAAGGCUGUGGCUCAACCAUAGUUCGCUUUGGAAACUGUCAAACUUGAGUGCAGAAGGGGAGAGUGGAAUUCCAUGUGUAGCGGUGAAAUGCGUAGAUAUAUGGAGGAACACCGGUGGCGAAAGCGGCUCUCUGGUCUGUAACUGACGCUGAGGCUCGAAAGCGUGGGGAGCGAACAGGAUUAGAUACCCUGGUAGUCCACGCCGUAAACGAUGAGUGCUAGGUGUUGGAUCCUUUCCGGGAUUCAGUGCCGCAGCUAACGCAUUAAGCACUCCGCCUGGGGAGUACGACCGCAAGGUUGAAACUCAAAGGAAUUGACGGGGGCCCGCACAAGCGGUGGAGCAUGUGGUUUAAUUCGAAGCAACGCGAAGAACCUUACCAGGUCUUGACAUCCCGACGCUAUUUCUAGAGAUGGAAAGUUACUUCGGUACAUCGGUGACAGGUGGUGCAUGGUUGUCGUCAGCUCGUGUCGUGAGAUGUUGGGUUAAGUCCCGCAACGAGCGCAACCCCUAUUGUUAGUUGCCAUCAUUCAGUUGGGCACUCUAGCGAGACUGCCGGUAAUAAACCGGAGGAAGGUGGGGAUGACGUCAAAUCAUCAUGCCCCUUAUGACCUGGGCUACACACGUGCUACAAUGGUUGGUACAACGAGUUGCGAGUCGGUGACGGCGAGCUAAUCUCUUAAAGCCAAUCUCAGUUCGGAUUGUAGGCUGCAACUCGCCUACAUGAAGUCGGAAUCGCUAGUAAUCGCGGAUCAGCACGCCGCGGUGAAUACGUUCCCGGGCCUUGUACACACCGCCCGUCACACCACGAGAGUUUGUAACACCCGAAGUCGGUGAGGUAACCUUUUGGAGCCAGCCGCCUAAGGUGGGACAGAUGAUUGGGGUGAAGUCGUAACAAGGUA
rnacentral:rRNA from 1 species